rnacentral:lncRNA from 1 species
CUCUCACUUGAUUUGUUAUCAUAGUUAAUUUGUGUUGAUCAUUUAUAUGAGGGGUAUCAAUAAUUGUUAUAUCUCUUUCUUGCCAUUGCCAAAUUUUUUCUUCGAUUUCUGUUGUCAAAGGGACAGUCCCCAUCAUUGACCUGAAACAUGCUGUCCCGACAAUCGAAUUCCCGGUAGCACGUUUGCCACUCCCCUGAGUUCCAAUGAGUUCUAAA